rnacentral:lncRNA from 10 species
GUGGGGAAGAAUAUGACCUUGAGUACUGUAUAAAUGCUAUUUUCUAACUGGGGGGAAUUCCAAAGUCAAGAAUGAUCUGUUUGUGAAGUAAUCCUAGUAACGUGUGGAAUUUUCAUAGUGAUUUUUUUUUCUUGCAAAAGCUAAAUGUUGAAGAAAAAUGCAGGAAACUGGCAAUUAGAAUCAAUCCUCUUCAUAACAACAGCAGGAUAUCAGCUAGAAAAUAUGUCCUUUAACUGGUGUAAUAAUUGUCAGCAGUAAAAAUCUUGGGAGUGGCCAUGGAAUCCACAGACUGACCUGGGGGACGCUUGAGGUACGGUUCUGCCACAUAAAGAGGUCGUGUUUCAAGGACUGGUUCAUAUGUUGGUGUUUGGAAUUCCAAACAUGACUUCUGAUUAAAUGCAUGGUACAAACAAAGAUCCCAGGUUAAGCUCCACAACGCACAACAGGCAAAAUAUAAUCUACGUGCAGCAGUUACAAAAUAAACAAUAACAAAUAUGAUAGAAUAAAAUAAAAUUGAUUCUUAAGCCAACAAGUCUAUUUGUAAACAAUGAGUUUAUUAUGUCAAUGACUGACUUUAAUGUAGUAUAUAUUCCUGCUUCUCUCAGUUUAGUUAUUCAGUCAAUAGAGCAAAUGCUUGGUGAACACCUACUAUGUGCCAGACAGUAUUCUAGGUGCAGUGAGCCAAACUGACAAAAAUGACUGUCAUGACAAAAAGAGAAACAGAGGCAGAGAGAAGACAGGGAGAGAGAAAAUGAAGUAAAAUUUUUAAGUUCAAAGAAGAAUAUUAAAACAGAGAAGGGGGUUAGGAAAUGUCAAUAAACGUGUCAUAGCAAUUUUAGAUUUUAGCAGUGAGAAAGUAUGAUUUUAGUCAAAUCUUGAAGCAGGUGAAGAAGUACUUGCCAGGUUUCAGUGGGAGCCAAUCCCAGGCAGAGGCUACAGCAGGUGCAAAGAUCCUGAGGAAAGCUGCAUCUGCUUUAGAACAAAUGUGUGAACACUUGUUGCUCCUACUUGCAAGGAAGAUGUGAGCUUUUUGAUUAGAGGGACCCAGGGUUCAAAAUACCGACAAAAUGAAAAAUAUUUUAGUUAAGUUCUCCCCACCCUCUGGGUGACUACUGAGCUUAUGUUGUUCUCUUAGAGACAAUCAGUUGGGCAGAAAGCUGGGGGAUAUUUAUGUUCAACUCUUUCCUGUGUACUCUAAUUUAUGCACGAGACAGGAUCUAGGAAUGCACGACGUGAUGGACAAUCCUUUCAUGAAUCUGUAGGCAUGUGUUUUUAUAUGUGUAUUUUAUAGUAUCUUUUAAGGUACAGAAGUUUGGGAAACUUUUAUUGUGAAAUGCAACAUAUAUACAGAAAACAAUGAUGUGGAGCUUCAUGAUUUCUCACAAAGCAAACACCCAUGUUACCACUUGUCCAGGUCGAGAAACAGAAUACGGCUGGCAUCCCUUGCGCCCCUCCGAGCACCACCCCUCCCUCCCUUAUAAAGGUAAACCACCCUCUGACUUCAAAAUAACUGCUUCUUUGCCCUCGGGUUUUAAAGAGAAAAUGGUAAACGGACCCUCAUGUACCCUAGUUAUCAAUGACAGGCCAAUCGUAUAUCACAUCAUCCCCAUUCCUUCCCUUCAUCAUUCCUGUCCAGCUAAGUUAUUUAAAUUAUGUACUUACUUUUAAGGAGGGAUAGUCUACAUGAAGCAAAAUGUACAGAUCUAAAGCCUACAGUUCCAUGAGUUUUACAUGUAUAAAUUAUCCACAUAUACUUUAUGCAUGUCUAAAUUGAUAUAAACAUUGAGCAUUACAUAUUUGUUUUGAGCUCUCUUUAAUAACUAGGAACUUGGAAGCACAGAGUAGACUUCAGUGUCCCUCUGUGUCCAUGUGAAAAUCUGGAAGCAGCUUAGCUAGCAGUCAGAUGGAGCCCCUGAAGCAUGCUGCUACGAGUCUUUCUAAGCCCUUUCUAAAUGUAUACUGUUAUCAGCUACCCACUGCUUUUCCCUUCCCCCUCCCUCCUUUUCCUUCUGUCGGCAAAAUAGUUUGUUAUGGAUUGGUGAUAAAAAUCAGUGUCCACUGAAAGACACAUCAAGACGACCACCGUGGGAGGCCAUCAAAGCAUACCAGGCCACGUUAUGCCACAGUGUGAAGAGACCGUCUGUCAGGAGGUCACAGGCCAUGUCCACCAACUCACUUCUCCUAUUUCCCAUGAAUAGAAGGGGUUUGCCCCCAAUCCAACCAGAGGACUCGCUUCCUCGAACUUUCCCCAGUGACUGGAAAUGUGCAGG